rnacentral:rRNA from 1 species
UACGUAGGGGGGCUAGCGUUGUCCGGAUUUAUUGGGCGUAAAGAGCGUGUAGGCGGCCAGGUAGGUCUGGUGUGAAAAACUCGAGGCUUAACCUUGAGAUGUCAUCGGAAACCAUUUGGCUAGAGUCCGGAAGAGGAAAAGUGGAAUUCCUGGUGUAGCGGUGAAAUGCGCAGAUAUCAGGAAGAACACCGAUGGCGAAGGCAGCCAUCUGGACCGACACUGACGCUGAGGCGCGAAAGCGUGGGGAGCAAACAGG